AUUAUUCUUUAAUAAUUCUAAAGUAGUGUAUAUAUAAACUUAAAAUUUUGACGGUAUUUAAUUUUCCAAAGGAAUAUGUAAUUUAAUCGAUUUUACCCGUUUAAUCUUACUUAUUUUAUUUUAGUAUAUCUCCGUUGUCAGAUUUUAUUUUAAAUAAUAAAAAUUUUCUUAAGAAAAUGUUUUAAUACAUCAGGUCAAGGUGCAAAAUAAAUAAGAUAUUAUGUAUUACAUUCAUUUAUAUUGUAUUGAAUUAAUAUUUGAAAAAUAUUUUGAAAUUGAAUUUGUAAGUAAAAUUAAAUAGAAAAUU
rnacentral:rRNA from 1 species